rnacentral:ncRNA from 1 species
CAAAAGUUUAGUCCCGGCUUUAAUAUCAAUUCUAACUAAACUUACACAUGCAAACCUCAACCAACCAGUGACAACACCCUAAUGAAAUACACCAGGAGUUGAUAUCAGGCACACUAACUAGCCCACCACAUCUAGCCAUGCCACACCCCCAAGGGUCUACAGCAGUGAUCAACAUUGAUAAUAAGCGCAAGCUUGAUCCAGUUAUAGUUAAUAAGGUUGGUUAAUCUUGUGCCAGCCACCGCGGUUAUACAAGAAACACUAAUUGAUACUCCUACGGCGUAAAGCGUGAUAAAGACAAGAUUCCACCCCUCUGGCUAAAACACCUCUAGGCCGUAAAACGCUUAAGAAGGUUAACACACACAAUAACCGAAAGCAGCCCUAUAAAAAGAUCACCCCAACUCACGACCGCUAGAACACAAACUGGGAUUAGAUACCCCACUAUGCCUAUGCCACAAACUUUGAUAUUAUUAUCCGCCAGAAUACUACGAGCAACAGCUUGAAACUCAAAGGACUUGGCGGUGCCCCAUCCACUCAGAGGAGCCUGUCCUAUAAUCGAUAAUCCACGCUCAACCUUACCAUCUUUUGAUCAUCAGCCUAUAUACCACCGUCGCCAGCUAGCCCUGCUAAAGAACUUAAGCUAGCAAAACUGCCAACCACAAACACGUCAGGUCAAGGUGUAGCAUAUAAGAUGGCAGAAAUGGGCUACAUUUUCUACCACAGAAAACCACGAAUGACAUAAUGAAAAAUACCCUGAAGGAGGAUUUGAAAGUAAGACGAACCCACCACAUUCUUCUUAACUCGGUUCCGGGGCGCGCACACACCGCCCGUCAUCACUCAUCAAAUCUAACCUAAAAACUUAAUAAUACAAAUUAAUCAACAAGAUGAGGAAAGUCGUAACAUGGUAAGCGCACUGGAAAGUGCUCUUGGAUUAAC